CCGACGCAGGGCUCGAACUCACGGACCGUGAGAUCACGACCUGAGCCGAAGUCGGACGUUCAACCGACGGAGCCACCCAGGCGCCCCAGUGAGGAAUAUCUGAGAGGCUGCAUAGACAAACUCGGAGACCAAUGCCAUGUUGCAGAGACGGGAGGCGAUAGGAAUGAAGAGUGAAGCCGAGACCUGGGCUCAGGCACCUGGGUGGAUGGUGGCACCAUUCAUCAAAAUAGAGGAAACAGGUGAAGAAGCUGGUUGGGGCGUUGAUUCGUGAUAUUGGUGUUAGAUAUGUUGAUACAGGAUUCCUACAGGACGAUAGCUUGGAGACCAUCGAGAUAUCCAUUUGUCUGAAUCUGUAGGGCCCGUGACCCUGGAGUAAAGCCUGGUGCCCGGGGUGUGUUGGCGGCUGUACAAGGACGUCUGGAAUCUGGCCCAGCAUCAGGCCGAGCGAGCACAGGGCCUUGCGUCGCUGCGUAUUGAAACUGACUUGUCAGGCCCACGGAGCUACAGAGAAGAAAGGCUCUGGCCGAGGCAGGCAAGCAGGCGCCCCGCUCAAUAAUUCAGCACAGAGCCUGUCUUGGCUGCAGAGCUACCAUCACAAGGAGCGUUUUUAAAGCCAAACCCGAUUUCUGUGCGAAGUCAUGCCUGAGCAAGCUGGAUCAUUGCCAAAAGACAAGAGAAGGCUCCAGGCCUCUUUAUACACAGGCCCUGGGAGAUUGGGGUACUUCGUGAUAAAGCUGUCAGUCUCCGCAGGGCAGGCAUGUGACACAUUUGCAUAUGUCACUUCCCUCAGCACACCCCAGCCCGCAGGCCCCUGACUCCAAAUCCCUCGGACAAACAAAGCUGUCCCAAACGACAUCUUCCUAUCAGAUUCAGGCUUUAUUAUACUAGGAGGUCUGGCCGAAGAUCCCUUCACUGCUCUGGACCAACUCAGAGCCCCUCUGGCGGAAUGGAGCUCUCUGAAGGGAAGGGCACUUCAGAGGGGGGGUUCAGACACAGCCCCACAAGGAUCAGGGAGUGGAGCAGAAAGGCCUGAGCGCUGCUGACAUUCUGCCACCAGCGGUCGGCUUCCAAAGCUCUGGGAGAAUGGGCCCGUUCCGCCUUCUCGGCACGCUGCUCCCCAGCCGGCCACGGGGGCCGAACCCUGGGUGGUAGCUACCCGAGUCUUUGCUUCUCUCAGUCUCUGCUUCCAUGCGUCCUUGAUUCGCGCUGGCCUCCUGUGCUACCCAUACUUGGGGAUCGAUUACUUAGCAGGAGACUGUAAGGAAACCUUCACCUGGCAUGCACAGCCGUGCCCAAGGGACUGCGCCGAUGCUUGAGUGGCUGGUUCGUCCCUGCACCAGGAUGCCAGGCGUGGUGGACAGGACACAGGCUGGAGGUCAGCCCCCACCGCUGCCCCUUAUGGCAGGUUCUCUGUACUGGCCACUAGCUUCACGGCUGUGGAGGAGGCCCUCCCCACGAACAGUUUAUCAGUGCGCUAUGAUACGCCAAUCGGCAAAUUCUGCUUCAGAGAUUCUCGAUCCCCCCCGCCAUCCCCAUUAUGUAAUUCAGAAUCAAAUUUAAAAUAAAAACAAUACUGGCUCAUAAAACACAAGCUUACAACAAUACUGACUCACAAACUUACACAAGUGU